CUGGGCUGCGGAGACCAGAGCCCGGCUCCACUGAAGAAACCCGCCGGCUGCUGGGGCAGGGCGGCGAAAGGUCAGUCGGCCGAGAGGAGUCCGUGGAGCCACCGUUUCAUAGCCUCAGGGAAAGGAUCGGGCGUGCUCACGAGCCCUCUAACCCAUGGCUUAAACACCCGCUUCCUAAGCCUGGUUCCUGAAUAUAUCACAUGUGGUGAUAAACAUGAAGAUGUAUGAAAAAUUGUGUUCGUUGAGAGAAAAUGGAAGGCUUUUCAUUCUACUUCCACAUUUUCAUUCCAGCAGCUUUUCUGUUUUGGAAGAUGAGUACUGAAUCUUGCAAUGAAAUUUUUUUAACUUAAACAAGACAAGGAAAAUGAAGCGCAGAGACGUUAAAUAACUCUCUCAAGGUCAUGCAGCUGAGAAGAGAUGAGACUUGAACUCCAGUGCCAGCCCUGUUAAUCACUAUUCUGUACUGUCUUUCAGAUGGAAUGAUAGGGUAUGCAUAAAUGUUCAUGUGGGCUCUGGAGUAUACCAGGAACUGAAGUAAGGUACAUGGACGUCUUGAAUAUUGUAACUGAGAUGGGCAAGCCUACACCUUUGCAAAUAAAGGAGGAUUGGGAAAGAUUAAGAUCCUGUUAAACGUCAGUGUUACUAUUUAGCCUUUGAUAUCUCCAGUAAAGGCAACUUCUUUCUGGACCCAGAAAUAAAGCUUUACAUUAGCAGCUUCCAUAACACCAAUAACAUGAAUGACCAUCUACUGAGCAAUUGCAGUGCACCAGGAUUAUGGCUUAUGAGCACUUUAUGUUUAUUAUCUCACAACUCACUGAGUUAGAUACUCUCCACAACCCAGUGAGGUAAAUACUAUUACUUCCACAGUAUAUAUUAUUAUAUAAUAAAAUGCUUAGAAUAUACACACAGUAACUAAACACUACUUAUAAAAUAUGGCUCUAGAUAUGUUUGAUAAAUAUUUCCUUCAUGAAAACAUGGAGGAAUUAAUUAGCAGUAUCUCUCUGCAGCCUUUAGCCCUCGAGAAUCAUGUAGAAAAGAGGAGCUGUCUUCUCUUUUAGCAGAACAUCUGUCAGAGAUGGUUUCCCCUGACUUAGACAAUUGUGUUUUUUUCCCUUCAGAAUGAUUGAGUCUCAGAAUUGUUCUUUAAUCCUCAGUAUUUCCAUUAAGAAGAGCUUCUAUCAAGUGCUUCAAAAGUACCCAAUGUGAAGGAGUAAUAAUGACUCCCUGCUGGUGAGCGAAGUGUGGAGGACACAGGUCCCUCAGCCGUCCACUGGAUGCUGCACUGUUUGGCCUGAGCCAACAUGGGCAGAAAUACAGGCGGCAGCAUAAGCAGAUGCCAAGAACCUGUCUUGCUUCUACUGUUUUCAUUGGGUUACUAUAUCUCCUUUGUAGUCCAACCUGCAAAUUACUUUGAGAAGGGGAGAUACACCCCUGGACCAAUCUAGGACUAUAUUUGUUCCCUUGCUAAAGUAGGAAAAAAAAUACAGAACCUUUAAAUAUUGAACUCAAGGGCAACUAAUUUAAAUUCCUUUCCUUUCAUGUUGAAAGUCUUUUGACUGGGUUAUUCUGAAGCCAUAGCAAUUAGGUUACAGUUUACUUCUCUGUUACUUUACCAUCUUUAAAUUUG
rnacentral:lncRNA from 1 species